GAUGACAACGACGUCAGUUUAACGGACAGCAAAAGGGGAAGCGGUGGGGAGAAAGGGUUGGAAGGCACGGCCACAUUGUUCUGUGCUCCCUGUUCUCUCACCCAGGAAAUCCUUCAGCCCAAUGACUGCAUAGAGAAGCGCUCCUGUAUGAAGAAGUAAAAAGACACUAGAAGAAAAAAGGGCAAGGAGAGGGAGACCCCAAGUCAAGGAAACAAUACUGGGUUUUGUUUUGUGUGUACAGUGUCCAGCCCAAAUGAGCCUUGAUCCCACAAUGGGGCCUGGAGCCUCAGCACUGCUAACAUACAUAAUGGCCAAUACAGCCAGAAGUCCAAUCAUGAUUAUGGAAUCCAGGCCACAUUUUUAAUACACCCAGUGUGACAACAUGAUGAAGCACAAUCUCCACAUUCUUAAGUAUACAGGCUGGACUGGAGCUACAUCAUCCUACAUUAAGAAUUCCCUCUGUGACUACUUCACCUGAGCUCUGAUUCUGCUCUAUUGCAAGGGACGCUGUAGCAAAAGCACCUUAUUGUGCUUCAUCAAGAGGGCAUUGCACCAUUCUUCCCAUUGUUCCUGCACUCUUUGACUAUGCUGGGUUCACCUUACUGUACAGGAUUCUUCCUAUCAAGCAGAUGUUUCCAUGUCCUAGAGUCAUUUACAAGCUGGGUGAAAUAAUUGAAAGUAACAGGUGUUCACGUGAUGGCGGCCAUGCUGGUUGACACCAGGGAUUGAAUCAGGUCCAGAGCUAAAAUCAUGAAUGUCUAAAGCUUGAGUUCAAGAGCCAGGAGCCCCAAGAGCUUUAACAGACUCACAUCCUCUGUGGAUUGGGUACAGACAGGAAUCAGUAACACACACUGACAAACAACUAUUAAUAUACUGUCUGCACUAUUCAGAAAAUACUUAGAAUGCAGGCUGAGGAGACAAGACGAUGUGCAGUCAAUGAACAUUUAAAAACAACAUGUACACCACAUGCUGCAGUGAAUUUACUUGGGUCAUAGAACUGGAACAAAUGGAUCAAACAGCAACUAGUAACAACACUAGCAGCUACAAGAGGAACAGUAACCGAAGAAACAGCCACUGUAUUAAAUCAGUUAGAAAUCUGACUCUGAUCUGCAGAAGUAGAAUUUGGAACAUAACAACAGGACAAGACUGAAGCUUUCCAAGAUUGGUGAAAACCACACAAGACAGGAUUGAAUCAUCACUCUUUGAGAGACAGUGUGGCCUAGACAGUACUGUACAGGG